rnacentral:tRNA from 1 species
GCCCCCAUAGCUUAGUGGUAAAGCAGUUGCCUCUUAAGCAAUUGACCUUGGUUCGAUUCCAAGUGGGGGCA